rnacentral:misc_RNA from 1 species
AAAGAAAUGGGGUCCUAGACCCCACACACGCCACUCGGGUAAAGAAUCGGGCCUAUAGCUCAGCUGGCUAGAGCACACGACUGAUAAUCGUGAGGUCAGUGGUUCGAGUCCACUUGGGCCCACCAAAUGGGGCUGUAGCUCAGCUGGGAGAGCACCUGCUUUGCAAGCAGGGGGUCACCGGUUCGAUCCCGGUCAGCUCCACCAAAGGGAAGAGGCCCGCGCGCAGCGGGUCGGACGCUGGGGUGGAGAAGUAGGCGGCAGGAAGCGGGUAACAGGUAACAGGAAGUAGAGAAUAGGAAAGUAAUUAAAGAGUCCGUAGUAGUGAGUUUCUGAAUAAAGAAGCUGAGUACUACCGAUUCGCAGUAUGGAAGCGGUAUUGUUCUUUGACAGUUGAGGAAGGGAAGGCCAUGUUUGUCAUCUUGCCGAUGGCAGACCUCCAGGUGGAUGCUUGGGGAUAUAU